GAAGAGGGAUAAAUUGUUUCAGGUGAAAAACUNGAAUUUAACUAUUAAGUGAAAAGRCUUAAAUAUUUCAAAAAGACGAUAAGACCCUAUAAAUCUUAACAUUAAAUUUCAUGUAAUUCUAGCUUAUUAGUGUAAAGAAACCCAUGGUAAAAAUGUUAUGKUGGGGCAACAAAGAUAUAAAAAAAUUAACUGUUUUAUCAUUUAAACAAAAAUCAUUGAAUUUCUAGAUCCUUUUUUAAGAUWUAAAGAUCAAGUUACUUUAGGGAUAACAGCGUCAUUCUUUUUGAGAGUCCCCAUGGAAAAAAGAGUUUGCGACCUCGAUG
rnacentral:rRNA from 1 species